UACGUAGGGUGCAAGCGUUAAUCGGAAUUACUGGGCGUAAAGCGUGCGCAGGCUGUUGAGUAAGACAGAUGUGAAAUCCCUGGGCUUAACCUAGGAACUGCAUUUGUGACUGCUCAGCUAGAGUGCGGCAGAGGGGGAUGGAAUUCCGCGUGUAGCAGUGAAAUGCGUAGAUAUGCGGAGGAACACCGAUGGCGAAGGCAAUCCCCUGGGCCUGCACUGACGCUCAUGCACGAAAGCGUGGGGAGCAAACAGG
rnacentral:rRNA from 1 species